CUCGGGAUCGGCGGGGCCGGGGCAGGCCGGGGCUCACAUGUUGUUGAAGCAGAAGAGAUCAUCGCACGUGAAGGCCCGAAGCGUGGUCAUGGCGAUGCCGGUGAUGGUGCUCGGUGCUGCCGCUCGGUAGUGCCAGCGCUGGUAAUCCACCUACGGCCACAGCUCCGGCAGUCGUCAUCCCCGCCCCGGAAGCACUCCCGGGGCACAAAGGCCGCUUCCGGGACGGAGAGGCGGAAGUGGAGCGAUAUAAGCCCACCGGGAGAGACCCCGCUGGGGGUUUCUGGAAAUGCCAAGGAAGACCUCUACAGGAAUACACACCCACUGGAUGCCUGCAAGAAGCAAUGUCUGUGGUACCCAGAGGGAUGGCAACUGAAAGGACCUGAGAGAACACGGGAGGGACACAGCUAUGGUGCUAAGUUACUAGGGGCACACCUCAGAGUUCUGAACAGUACAUAAUAAUAUAUUUCACUUAAGCCAAAUGAACAAGGA